rnacentral:rRNA from 1 species
GAUGAACGCUAGCGGGAGGCUUAACACAUGCAAGUCGAGGGGCAGCACGGGGUAGCAAUACUCUGGUGGCGACCGGCGCACGGGUGAGUAACGCGUAUGCAACCUGCCCUGUACUGGGGGAUAGCCCGGAGAAAUUCGGAUUAAUACCCCAUAACGAUAUAGAAUGGCAUCAUUUUAUAUUUAAAGAUUUAUCGGUACAGGAUGGGCAUGCGUAACAUUAGCUAGUUGGUAGGGUAACGGCCUACCAAGGCAACGAUGUUUAGGGGUCCUGAGAGGGUGAUCCCCCACACUGGUACUGAGACACGGACCAGACUCCUACGGGAGGCAGCAGUGAGGAAUAUUGGUCAAUGGGCGCAAGCCUGAACCAGCCAUCCCGCGUGAAGGAAGAAGGCGCUAUGCGUUGUAAACUUCUUUUCCGGAGGAAUAAAAUUUUGUACGAGUACAGGACUGAAGGUACUCCGGGAAUAAGCAUCGGCUAACUCCGUGCCAGCAGCCGCGGUAAAAC